rnacentral:lncRNA from 1 species
GUGGAUUUCUUAACCAUCUAUGAUCUAAAGAAAUGAAAAAGCGCAUUCACCAAAAGUAGAGAAUGUUUAAAGAAAUAGUAUGCAUCAUAGCCUUAAAUUUGGUGUUCUUGUAAUGACAUAAACUUUCAAUAAGAAGUAUCUUAGGCUUGCAGCAUAGUUUUGUAGCUCAUAGUCUACCCUCUGAGUUUAUUUUAGCGAACCA